UGUAUUUUUUCUAUUAUAAUUUAUAUAUAUAUAAAUUAUAAUAUAUAGUCUUUAAUUCAUUUACUUACUUAUCUUAAGAAUAAUGAAAUAUAAAAAACGUUUAAAGUUGAAAAUAGUUUUAAUCUUUACUAGUAUGAUUCUAUCGCCAAGUCUCUUGAAUGUGAUCAAUCAUUUCUCGAUACUAAUGUUGCAAAAAAAAUAGAAGUUAUUAAAUGUUGGUGGCUCAUCAUGCAAUGCAUUUGAGAAGGGCAUGCUUUCAAAGUUAAGACUGCAUUCAUGAUUCCUACAGCAAAAAAAAAAACUUUAAAAUGCUGGUGGCAAUAUUUUAAAGAGUGCAUCUGAUCGAAAAGAAAGUGAAUAACGUCAACUGUUCGAAAAUUCGAUUCUUGGAAAUUAACAAGUGGAAGAAGAAGUUUACAAAGUUGUAAUUUAUAAAACUCAGCACAAUUAUAUUAUUAAAAAAUUUAAA